rnacentral:rRNA from 1 species
CGAACGAGAAAGCCGCAAGGCAAGUAAAGUGGCGUACGGGUGAGUAACACGUGGAUUAUCUGCCCUCUAGUGGGGAAUACCGUUGGGAAACCGACGACAAUACCGCAUAAGCUCGAGAGAGGAAACCAGCAAUGGGCUGGAGGAGGAGUCCGCGGUCGAUUAGUUAGUUGGCAGGGUAAAAGCCUACCAAGACUGUGAUCGAUAGCCGGCCUGAGAGGGCACACGGCCACACUGGCACUGAAACACGGGCCAGACUCCUACGGGAGGCAGCAGUGGGGAAUCUUGCACAAUGGAGGAAACUCUGAUGCAGCGACGCCGCGUGAGCGAUGAAGCCCUUCGGGGUGUAAAGCUCUUUCGGCAGGGAAGAUUAUGACGGUACCUGCAGAAGCAGCUGCGGCUAACUACGUGCCAGCAGCCGCGGUAAUACGUAGGCAGCAAGCGUUGUUCGGAGUUACUGGGCGUAAAGGGUGCGUAGGCGGUCUUUUAAGUUUGGUGUGAAAUCUCCCGGCUCAACCGGGAGGGUGCGCCGAAUACUGAGAGGCUAGAGUGUGGGAGAGGAAAGUGGAAUUCCUGGUGUAGCGGUGAAAUGCGUAGAUAUCAGGAGGAACACCGGUGGUGUAAACGGCUUUCUGGACCAUAACUGACGCUGAGGCACGAAAGCGUGGGUAGCAAACAGGAUUAGAUACCCUGGUAGUCCACGCCCUAAACGAUGCAUAUUUGGUGUGGGCCAUUCAUUUGGUCUGUGCCGGAGCUAACGCGUUAAAUAUGCCGCCUGGGGAGUACAGUCGCAAGGCUGAAACUCAAAGGAAUUGACGGG